CCUACGGGAGGCAGCAGUGGGGAAUCUUGGACAAUGGGCGCAAGCCUGAUCCAGCCAUGCCGCGUGAGUGAAGAAGGCCUUCGGGUUGUAAAGCUCUUUUGUCAGGGACGAUAAUGACGGUACCUGAAGAAUAAGCCCCGGCAAACUUCGUGCCAGCAGCCGCGGUAAUACGAAGGGGGCUAGCGUUGUUCGGAAUUACUGGGCGUAAAGCGCACGUAGGCUGACAUUUAAGUCAGGGGUGAAAUCCCGAGGCUCAACCUCGGAACUGCCCUUGAUACUGGGUGUCUCGAGUCCGGAAGAGGUUAGUGGAAUUCCCAGUGUAGAGGUGAAAUUCGUAGAUAUUGGGAAGAACACCAGUGGCGAAGGCGGCUAACUGGUCCGGUACUGACGCUGAGGUGCGAAAGCGUGGGGAGCAAACAGGAUUAGAUACCCUAGUAGUC
rnacentral:rRNA from 1 species